UGAAGGAACCCUAUUCAAGGCAUUCCUAUUACUAACACAAACAAAAGCCAGGAGGACCCAACUUAAUUCAGCUCACUCUUGCUAAAUCCAGAAAUUCACAGCUUGGCUCAUGUCACUGAUCUAGUUUUAUUACUUAAUUUGGUUUCUGUAGAAUUUUCCUAAAUUGGCCAAGUACCAGUUAAUUGAGAAAAUAAAUGCUAAGACAUAUGUAAAAAUCCAUUACCUGAUGAAAUGGGAUUCAGUGUCAGGAAAGGGGUCAUAGAAGAGAAGAAAUAGAGAAUGAAGUACCUUUCACCCACGACAAAGCAGUCAUAUGGCUAUUGAUGCAAGUUGUUAAGAGGCAGGCAAUUUUCUAUGAUGUUCAUUACAGCAGUUCUCAAACAAUGUUUUCUCUCACCUCAAUGCUUAGUGUACAAGAAGUGUAAUACUCAAAAUAUUUAAUGAAGAAAGGAGUUCUGAUACUCAAUUUGACACUAUGGUGUUAUCCAAGUGUGGGCCAGGGGCCAGUGGGGGAUCUGAGACCUUUCAGGGGAUCCAUCAGGAAAACUGUUUUCACAAUACCAAGAAGACAUUUGCCUGUUACUCUCAUUUUCUUAUGCGUGUACAGUGGAAUUUCCCAGAGGCUAAAUGACAU